rnacentral:rRNA from 1 species
GACGAACGCUGGCGGCGUGCUUAACACAUGCAAGUCGAACGGAAAGGCCCUGCUUUUGUGGGGUGCUCGAGUGGCGAACGGGUGAGUAACACGUGAGUAACCUGCCCUUGACUUUGGGAUAACUUCAGGAAACUGGGGCUAAUACCGGAUAGGAGCUCCUGCUGCAUGGUGGGGGUUGGAAAGUUUCGGCGGUUGGGGAUGGACUCGCGGCUUAUCAGCUUGUUGGUGGGGUAGUGGCUUACCAAGGCUUUGACGGGUAGCCGGCCUGAGAGAGUGACCGGCCACAGUGGGACUGAGAUACGGCCCAGACUCCUACGGGAGGCAGCAGUGGGGAAUAUUGCACAAUGGGCGGAAGCCUGAUGCAGCAACGCCGCGUGCGGGAUGACGGCCUUCGGGUUGUAAACCGCUUUCGCCUGUGACGAAGCGUGAGUGACGGUAAUGGGUAAAGAAGCACCGGCUAACUACGUG